CAUAAAUCACACUGCAAGCUGAACUAGUUGCUUCCAGACCCUCCAUAAUAAAUAGAUUUCAGCAGUCGUAGCAAAGAAAAUCUUCAGUUCGGAGGCCCUUCAGCACCUGGCGUGGAUGGUCUCAGACUUGGGGACCCUGUACUGUUAAGCGGACUCUUCGAUGGCAGAGAGAGGAGAGAGAGAGCUCUUUGCUGAAGCUAUAGUAGAGCUAAGUGAACUUGGGUGAGGCCUCUUCUAGCCAGUCAGUAAAUAAAACUGACAUUACUAUAGCUGGGUGACGUGGUGGAACCUCAGUCAGGAAGGGACCAGGCAGCACUUCCCAAGGGGCUGGAGACAGUGCCUGUCAAAGUCUGGGACUUGCGACAAACUGACAGCAACCCACAAGUGGGGUUUAGUGGAUGGUGAGGGAGAAGGGAUGCAGUAAAAUAAAGGAUAUUUGUCUAUUGGACUUUCACACUGAAAUGUGAAGAACGGAGUUAAUGCACUUGCAAA